rnacentral:rRNA from 1 species
AACGCUGGCGGCGUGCCUAAUACAUGCAAGUCGAACGCUUCUUUCCUCCCGAGUGCUUGCACUCAAUUGGAAAGAGGAGUGGCGGACGGGUGAGUAACACGUGGGUAACCUACCCAUCAGAGGGGGAUAACACUUGGAAACAGGUGCUAAUACCGCAUAACAGUUUAUGCCGCAUGGCAUAAGAGUGAAAGGCGCUUUCGGGUGUCGCUGAUGGAUGGACCCGCGGUGCAUUAGCUAGUUGGUGAGGUAACGGCUCACCAAGGCCACGAUGCAUAGCCGACCUGAGAGGGUGAUCGGCCACACUGGGACUGAGACACGGCCCAGACUCCUACGGGAGGCAGCAGUAGGGAAUCUUCGGCAAUGGACGAAAGUCUGACCGAGCAACGCCGCGUGAGUGAAGAAGGUUUUCGGAUCGUAAAACUCUGUUGUUAGAGAAGAACAAGGACGUUAGUAACUGAACGUCCCCUGACGGUAUCUAACCAGAAAGCCACGGCUAACUACGUGCCAGCAGCCGCGGUAAUACGUAGGUGGCAAGCGUUGUCCGGAUUUAUUGGGCGUAAAGCGAGCGCAGGCGGUUUCUUAAGUCUGAUGUGAAAGCCCCCGGCUCAACCGGGGAGGGUCAUUGGAAACUGGGAGA